ACAUACGGCCAUAGAUUCAAGAAAUUUAGCCAUCCCGUUCGAUCUGGCCUAUACAAGCUUGAAAUCGGCGGAUUAGUAGUCAGGUGGGUGACCACUGGCGAAUCCCCGCUGUCGUAUGUU
rfam:Bipolaris zeicola 26-R-13 unplaced genomic scaffold scaffold_149, whole genome shotgun sequence.